rnacentral:pre_miRNA from 1 species
AAUAAAUCAACUUUUAGUUUUUAGAUACAAUGUUUGACUCUUCGUCUUAUUAAAAAAAUUUACGAUUAAUAAUUUUAUUUUUAUUAGAUGAUAAAACAUAAAUAGUACUUUAUGUGUGACUAAUAUUUUUAAAAUUUUUUGAAAUAAGACGGAUGGUCCAACGCUCGACAUAAAAACC